GACGAACGCUGGCGGCGUGCUUAACACAUGCAAGUCGAACGGAAAGGCCCUGCUUGCAGGGUACUCGAGUGGCGAACGGGUGAGUAACACGUGGGUGAUCUGCCCUGCACUUCGGGAUAAGCCUGGGAAACUGGGUCUAAUACCGGAUAGGAGCCCUUUUUAGUGUGAUGGUUGGAAAGUUUUUUCGGUGUAGGAUGAGCUCGCGGCCUAUCAGCUUGUUGGUGGGGUAAUGGCCUACCAAGGCGGCGACGGGUAGCCGGCCUGAGAGGGUGGACGGCCACAUUGGGACUGGGAUACGGCCCAGACUCCUACGGGGGGCAGCAGGGGGGAAUAUUGCACAAUGGGCGCGAGGCUGAUGCAGCGACGCCGCGGGGGGGAUGACGGCCUUCGGGUUGUAAAAUCCUUUCGCUAGGGACGAAGCUUUUUGUGACGGUACCUAGAUAAGAAGCACCGGCUAACUACGUG
rnacentral:rRNA from 1 species